rnacentral:rRNA from 1 species
AUUGAACGCUGGCGGCAGGCUUAACACAUGCAAGUCGAGCGGGGUGAUGGUGCUUGCACUAUCACUUAGCGGCGGACGGGUGAGUAAUGCUUAGGAAUCUGCCUAUUAGUGGGGGACAACAUCUCGAAAGGGAUGCUAAUACCGCAUACGUCCUACGGGAGAAAGCAGGGGAUCACUUGUGACCUUGCGCUAAUAGAUGAGCCUAGGCCGGAUUAGCUAGUUGGUGGGGUAAAGGCCUACCAAGGCGACGAUCUGUAGCGGGUCUGAGAGGGGGAGCCGCCACAAUGGGAGUGGGGAACGGCCCGGACUCGUACGGGAGGCAGCAGGGGGGAAUAUUGGACGAUGGGGGGAACCCUGAUCCAGCCAUGCCGCGUGAGUGAAGAAGGCCUUAUGGUUGUAAAGCACUUUAAGCGAGUAGGAGGCUCUUGUGGUUAAUACCCAAGAUGAGUGGACGUUACUCGCAGAAUAAGCACCGGCUAACUCUGUGCCAGCCGCCGCCGUAA